UGUUUCCCGAUUUCGAAGGAGUUAUUGGUUUGUUUUAGUUAUUGUUUCAUAAAUAUUAAUUACAUUCUGUUGGUAGUGAAAUGCUAUUCGUCUUCGAGGGUUUCUGGUUUUUCAAGAAAUGAAUUUAAUUCAGGCAUUUGUUGGUUUUAAUUUUUAAAAUUGUGUUUAUUUUUUAUUACCUGUUGCUAAGAUUAAGGGGGAUUAGCUCUUUAUUUGAUUUUUAUAAUUUGGUUGGUUAUAUUUGGUCUUGUGGAUUUUAUGGUGAUUAUCAAUUUGAUUAUGUUAAAAUUUUAUUGGUUGUUUUCGUUAUUUGGUUUGUAUUUAAGUUUUUAUUGAAAUGUUUACUUUAUCUUUAUUUGUGUAGUAAUUAUUGUGGAAUUAGUAUAUUUGUAUGAUUGGGUUGUUUGUUUGUUUGUUAGUUUCUUUUGAGGAAUUCGGCAAAUAUUGGUUUCCGCCUGUUUAACAAAAACAUCUUUUCUUGAUAGUUUUUGAAGUAUAGCCUGCCCGCUGAUUUGGUUUGAAGGGCCGCGGUAUUCUGACCGUGCAAAGGUAGCAUAAUCAUUAGUUCUUUAAUUGUGAUCUGGAAUGAAUGGCUGGACGAGACACUAGCUGUCUUAUUUUGAAUUGGGUUGUUGAAUUUGGUCUUUGAGUUAAAAUUCUUAAAUGUUUUUAUGGGACGAGAAGACCCUAUAGAGUUUUACAUCGGGUUUGGGUUGAUAGUGUUUGUUGUUUUAUGUUUAUUUGGCUUGAUGUUUUGUUGGGGCGAUGGGAGGAAUUUAUUUAACUCUUCUUGUUAAGUUGAUAUAUUGAUUUAUAUUUGUUUGAU
rnacentral:rRNA from 1 species